rnacentral:rRNA from 1 species
AGCCUGAUGCAGCCAUGCCGCGUGUAUGAAGAAGGCCUUCGGGUUGUAAAGUACUUUCAGCAGUGAGGAAGGGGUGUACGUUAAUAGCGUGCAUCUUUGACGUUAGCUGCAGAAGAAGCACCGGCUAACUCCGUGCCAGCAGCCGCGGUAAUACGGAGGGUGCGAGCGUUAAUCGGAAUUACUGGGCGUAAAGCGCAUGCAGGUGGUUUGUUAAGUCAGAUGUGAAAGCCCGGGGCUCAACCUCGGAAUUGCAUUUGAAACUGGCAGACUAGAGUACUGUAGAGGGGGGUAGAAUUUCAGGUGUAGCGGUGAAAUGCGUAGAGAUCUGAAGGAAUACCAGUGGCGAAGGCGGCCCCCUGGACAGAUACUGACACUCAGAUGCGAAAGCGUGGGGAGCAAACAGGAUUAGAUACCCUGGUAGUCCACGCCGUAAACGAUGUCUACUUGGAGGUUGUGGCCUUGAGCCGUGGCUUUCGGAGCUAACGCGUUAAGUAGACCGCCUGGGGAGUACGGUCGCAAGAUUAAAACUU